rnacentral:rRNA from 1 species
GGAUUCCCCUAGUAACGGCGAGUGAAGAGGGAAGAGCCCAAGAUUGAAAGCUGGCGUCUUCGGCGUCCGCAUUGUAAUCUCAAGAAGUGUUUUCCGCUUCGGACCAUGCCUAAGUCCCUUGGAAAAGGGCAUCAUAGAGGGUGAUAAUCCCGUACAUGGCAUGGAGCGCCCGUAGCUUUGUGAUACGCUUUCUAAGAGUCGAGUUGUUUGGGAAUGCAGCUCAAAAUGGGUGGUAAAUGCCAUCUAAGGCUAAAUAUUGGGGAGAGACCGAUAGCGAACAAGUACAGUGAUGGAAAGAUGAAAAGAACUUUGAAAAGAGAGUUAAACAGUACGUGAAAUUGCCAAAAGGGAAGGGUAGGAGGUCAGAGAUGCGUCUUGGGAUUCAGCCUUGCUUUUGCCUGGUGUUUUUCCCAAGCUGCAGGCCAACGUCGGUUUUGGGCACUGGAGAAGGGUAGGAGGAACGUGGCACCUCUCGGGGUGUGUUAUAGCCUCCUACUGGAUACAGCGACCGAGACCGAGGAACGCAGCGUACUCGUAAGAGCGGGCCUUUUGGCACCUUUACGCUUAGGGCGUUGGCAUAAUGGCCCUCUACCACCCGUCUUGAACCACGGACC